GGUGGCUCAGUGGUAGAGCGCUUGCCUCACAAUGCAUGAGGCCCUGGGUUCGAUUCCCCAGCACCA
rnacentral:tRNA from 1 species